AUUGAACGCUGGCGGCAUGCUUUACACAUGCAAGUCGAACGGCAGCGCGGGCUUCGGCCUGGCGGCGAGUGGCGAACGGGUGAGUAAUGCAUCGGAACGUGCCCAGUAGUGGGGGAUAGCCCGGCGAAAGCCGGAUUAAUACCGCAUACGACCUGAGGGUGAAAGCGGGGGACCGAAAGGCCUCGCGCUAUUGGAGCGGCCGAUGUCGGAUUAGCUAGUUGGUGGGGUAAAGGCUUACCAAGGCGACGAUCCGUAGCUGGUCUGAGAGGACGACCAGCCACACUGGGACUGAGACACGGCCCAGACUCCUACGGGAGGCAGCAGUGGGGAAUUUUGGACAAUGGGGGCAACCCUGAUCCAGCCAUGCCGGGUGCGGGAAGAAGGCCUUCGGGUUGUAAAACGCUUUUGUUCGGGAAGAAAUCCUCUGGGCUAAUACCCCGGGGGGAUGACGGUACCGGAAGAAUAAGCACCGGCUAACUACGUG
rnacentral:rRNA from 1 species